AUUGAACGCUGGCGGCAUGCCUUACACAUGCAAGUCGAACGGUAACAGGUCUUCGGAUGCUGACGAGUGGCGAACGGGUGAGUAAUACAUCGGAACGUGCCUAGUAGUGGGGGAUAACUACUCGAAAGAGUGGCUAAUACCGCAUGAGAUCUACGGAUGAAAGCAGGGGAUCGCAAGACCUUGUGCUACUAGAGCGGCCGAUGGCAGAUUAGGUAGUUGGUGGGAUAAAGGCUUACCAAGCCGACGAUCUGUAGCUGGUCUGAGAGGACGAUCAGCCACACUGGGACUGAGAAACGGCCCAGACUCCUACGGGAGGCAGCAGUGGGGAAUUUUGGACAAUGGGCGCAAGCCUGAUCCAGCAAUGCCGCGUGCAGGAUGAAGGCCUUCGGGUUGUAAACUGCUUUUGUACGGAACGAAAAGCCCCGGGUUAAUACCCUGGGGUCAUGACGGUACCGUAAGAAUAAGCACCGGCUAACUACGUGCCAGCAGCCGCCGUAA
rnacentral:rRNA from 1 species